AGGACCCUACGGGGGGCAGCAGUGGGGAAUAUUGCACAAUGGGGGAAACCCUGAUGCAGCGACGCCGCGUGAGUGAAGAAGUAUUUCGGUAUGUAAAGCUCUAUCAGCAGGGAAGAUAAUGACGGUACCUGACUAAGAAGCCCCAGCUAACUACGCGCCAGCAGCCGCGGUAAUACGUAGGGGGCAAGCGUUAUCCGGAUUUACUGGGUGUAAAGGGAGCGUAGACGGCUGAGCAAGUCUGAAGUGAAAGGCGGGGGCCCAACCCCCGGACUGCUUUGGAAACUGUAUAGCUAGAGUGCAGGAGG
rnacentral:rRNA from 1 species